rnacentral:lncRNA from 1 species
GAUAUUAGGGUUGCAUUUUCCAUUUUUAGGACUUUUUACCUCGCACGCGUAUCAAGCUAUUCCUUCGCUCACGUAUGUAUGAUUGGUUGUUUGGAUGUAUAUUGUACUUGUUUUAUCUCGCGCUUUGCAUUGCAUUUGGGUGGGAGACAUACCCUAGAGCCUCGCGUUGGUUCUUGAUCCCUCCCCUCCAAACGAGCACUAGCAUACGUGCAUACGCUUUAAUUUUUUCACCCCUUAUUUAUUUUCUUUUAGUGGCUUGUCACGCCACUCCACCCUAUUAGGAUUUUUAGGCGACUCACUUGGACUGGUGAUCGCGACACGAUGUGUGCGUAGCUUGAUCCGAGGGGUCACUCAAUCUUCCAUUUUAAGCUUUGGGUUCAUAGCCUUUAGCUUUUAGUCGAAGGUUGAGGAUUUUUGAUAGAUUCACUCAUGACAUGUAGCCGUGACACGAUGUGUGCGUAGCAAUGUCUGGGGAAUCGCUCAAGCCACCGACAAGGAACCUUGGAAUUGAUGACCCUCGGUUUCCAAGUCGAAGGCUCGGGGACCUAAAGCCUAUCGAGUCUAGAUGCAUUAGUGAGCCAAUACCUCAUGCAUCCAUGAUAGUUUACCUAGGGUAGAGUCUGCCUUAUCCUGGUAGGGACACUAUUCACGAGGGGAGGGAUCCAACCCCUUUUUCCUUUUUAUUGCUUUAUUUCUUCGUAUUGAUUUUAUUGCUUUAUCGUUGCUACAAUGUGUUAUGUGUAUUUAUCUGGCUGAACUAACUUUCUUGGUUUUGUCCUCAUUGCAUUCACAAACCCUAGCAAAUAAGAGGUCUGGCAUGACCUUCUUUUAUAACCUACCCUUGUAGAUAGGCUAUUGCACGUUUAAAGAUGUUGGUAUAUUGCAUUCAUAGAUUAAUAAUUGCACAUCAUUCUAGGCCUACCUUGGCAUAAAGGGUCCUUUAGGUCAUGAUAUCAUUUAAAUUGUAUGUUUUAUCGCUUUAAUAAACUGGCAUCAUGCAUAAACCCUAGAAAGGGAAUGCCAUUUAGGCGAUCCCGUGCUAGGAAUAAACCACCCUGUGUCUCGGAUAUAUAAUCCAAUGAGACUUGCACGUUUAUAUUUCCUGUACCAUCCAAAGGGGUAGUGCACAAGGUAAGGUGGGAUCCGAUCAUUUCCAUGCGACGAUCUUUGGAAUAUGAGCGUCUAACAAUCACUUCUUGGCCACUUUAUCAAAAUUGAAGAGGACAUUAAUUUGAAGAAAUUCACAAAUAAUUCCUCGCUAUUGAGACGAUAAAUAAAUUGAGGCCAAAAUUUGAUUUUAGAAGGCUCAUAGACUAAUGCAUCGCAAUAAUUUUUUGAAACUACCAAUAAGCCGUCAAUUCCAUUCAAUCCAUUGGACCGUUUUGUUCAUCCAUUUCAUCCAGUCCAUUUUAUCAAUUUGUUCAAUUUUAGGGCAACUUAGUCGUUUUUGAAUUCAUUUGACUAGUUUACCUAUUUUUUAAGGCAAUUUAGCCGAUUUUUGAAUAGAUCAUUAAUUUCGCUCAAUUCAUGUGAUUAGUUCACCCAUUCUUAGGGCAAUCUUAUCGAUUUUAAAUAAAUUAUCGGUUUCAUCCGAUCCAUUUGAUGAUUUAGGGUUUCGGUGCCAGAUUUUAUAAUUAUAAUGGCUAAUUGUUUUGAGGAAAUCAUCAAAGUGCAUUCAUUCGGCUUGGAUAGGUUAAGAUUUUGAUCCAUGUUAAGAAAUUUCCAAAUUUUCCAAUAGCAAGCUCCUCAAAGUUAAAUCAAUUUGUACUAAUUCUUGUGCCAACCAAAACCAAUCAUUCAUUCGGAUUUGUCCUCAUUUUGUUUAAAGGUCUCCCAAUAUUCAAUUGAUCAAAAAUUUUUGAAUUACUUUUCGAAUCAAAUGUUACUAAGUUGAUCGGAUCCAUCAGGUAUGGUAUCGUGCCUACCUCAGAGGAUUACAUCAUUCUAGGCCUACCCUUGGCACAAAAAGGGCUCCCCCAUAGGACAUGCAUCUGAAUUUUUUGAAUGUUUACUAACUCUUGUCUUUUUCUUUUCCUUUUCUUUAUUUUUAUUGGAAUAGCUGAGCGAGGGCUAAAUCUAAAGGCAAUUCCUUUCAAAAUUCUCAGGUAAUAUUUAAACAUAGCUUCUUGUCGAAACCCCAUCAUAACGCGAUCCCGUAGUCGAGCCCAGAGGAGUUGUGUAAACAUGAGUUCACAACCGGAACAAUCAGAUAGGUCUGCUACUACCGCCCAGCCUGAGACUACGAGUUUGGGGGUUCAGCUAACCGAAUUGCUUACUAAGUUUGGUGAGAUGGCUAUCGAGAUGGCGGCCCAAAAGAAAUUAAUCGACGAGCUAAUUAGCAACGGAGUUCAACCCGAGCCCGUACCCGUCAGGCAGCCUGAGUCAGAGCCAUUUGUCAUCCCUCCGACUCAAACCACCGUUACUCCAUCCUUCCCUAUUCCACCCGAAGGAACUUUCACCUAUCCCACCAUAAAUUUGCCAUACACUUACCCUCCUAAUCCUUCAUUUUUUCCUAUUCACAUGCAAGGCCCACAACCCCAAGCUACUUCAAACAUACCACCUGAGCCACAUACCUUUUAUCACAUGCUACCGCAGAGCCCUUACUGCCAGACCAUACUGUCCAAGCUAAACCAGAGGUAGGAGAAUCUUCUGCUCUUGUUGAUAUGAAAUUGCUCAAGCGCCUAGACCGUUUCGACGAAUUUAUGAGGAAAAGUCAAGGGCUAAACAAGCAAGGAGUGCUGGACUAUGAUGAACUUUGUCUCUUCCCAAAUGUGCAGUUGCCUGUGGGGUUCAAGACCCCAAAAUUUAACAAGUACGAUGGAACGGGCAACCCUAAGACACACCUCCGACUGUUUGCUAGCAAGUUGGGAAGGCCCAUCGAUGACGAGAAUCUGCCUCUAAGGCUGUUCCCAGAAAGUCUGGAGGGGGAUGCACUCGACUGGUAUUCCAAUCUAAAACCCGAGAAAGUAAAGACUUGGCUUGACUUGUCCAAUGCUUUUGUGAGGCAGUACGAGUACUGUAGACACCAAAUUUUUGGUGUUUUAUUAUUUAUUUAUUUAUUUACUAUUCGUUUUUAUUUGUUCUAUUUUUAUUUGUAUUUACUUUUAGUUUUAGUUAUUUUAUCCAUUUUUAGCUAGAAUUUCUCAAAGGGAAAAGAAAAGUGUUCAAAAAAAUAUGUUUUAGUUGUUUAGGAUUUAGUUUCAUUAUUUAAAGGAAAAAGGAAAAAUGGAAAAUGAAAAGAUGAUGAAUUGGAAUUUGCACUUUCUUGUUUCUAGUUUAUUUUUCAUCCAAUGUUAAUUAAAUUGUUUUUGUUAUUUGUUUUUACUAUUAUCAAUGUUAAUUAUUUAAAAAAAAAAAGGGGAAUACGCGAUGGCAAGCUGCGUUUUUACGCAGCUUGCAAGUAAGGGCUCGGGCAGCCCUUGGCUGCAAUUUUAGAGGAGACAAUGGGAGUUUUAGGGUUGGGGUGGCCCCAUAUAAAUAGAAGAUGCAGCAGCAGCCGCAGGAGGGGGAGAGGGCAUCGAGCAAAAGAAGAAAAAAAAAGAAAAAACCAGGGAGCUUCAUCGGGGGAGAGGAUCGACGGGCAGAGAGUGUGGAGUGAAAUCUGGAACGGCGGCUAGGGGCUUGAGGGAGUGAAUGAAAGGAGGACAUACGAGAGAGAGGUGACAGCCGAAACUUAGAAAAACAAAGAGAGAAAGCUAGAAGGGAAAAGACAGAGAGUGUGCGGCUGAAGAAAGCAGAAAAUCAGCGACUGAGAAAGAGUGAUAAAAGAGUGAGGAAGAUUUACGGCGGAUUAAGAGAAAAGCAGUGAGUUUUAGAGGUGUUGGUUCAGGAAACUUUGGGCAGCAAGAAGGUUUUGGAUUCGUUGAAGCAAGGCAAAGAAUCAGGAAGCGCAUCUGCGGGAGAGACGAAGAAGCAAAGAUUUCGUCUUCUGGAAUACAUCAAGCUUUCGGUCAAGGUUUAAAGGUAACAUUUUUUUUACUUUGGAUUUGUUUGUAAGUUGCUGAGUUAUGUUUGUAUGCUGAAAGUCUUAGUCUUUGCACUGGAUUGCAUUCUUCAUGCGAGUUUCUAUCCGUGAAUCUGGUUUGUUCUUGGAGGAGAAGGGAUUUGCGUUUAGCUGUGUUCGUUUCUAGUGUUCAUGGCUGUUUUCUUUUGGUGAUUUUUAUGCACAAUCUGGGUUGGAAAUUUCUGGGAGAUGCAUGAUUUAUGGCUGGAUUUUUGAUGAUAGGAUGCAUAAGAUCGUAUUUGUUUUGGGUUCGAAGAGGUUGCCGCUGGCUGCAAAUUUUGUUGGCUAUGUAUGUCUUGGAUAAUAUAGUGGGAAGUUGCGUUUUUUUACUUCCAGAUUUGCAUGUUUAUUUUGAGUCUUUGUAUUGAAAAUGAAUGGCAAGUUUGGUGUUUGAUAUUUUGAUUCCAGUCUGUCUUUUGUUUUGCUUGGAAUGCUAAUUGUUGCCUUUUGAAAGGAGGACCGCAUUACAUAAGAUUUCAAUGUUGCAGAAAAUUUGUAAACUUUGCUUGAAGUUGCUUGAAUCAUUUGGAUUUUGCAUGCUUGUUGCCCGGCUUUUGGUGUCUAAAUCUGAAAGUUUUCAUGAUGUAAAGUAAGAGGUUUGCAUAGUUGUAUUUAGUUUUGAUUGAGCAUGGAGACUGAUUCUUGCAAAGUGCCGAAUUACAAAAGGUUUUGCUGCAUUUUCGUUCCUUCUACGGCUGUUAGUUUUUUUCCCCCCCCUAAUGGUCAACUCUAUUUCUUUGUGCCAACCCUUCAGUGAAGUUGCGUGUUUAAUUGAGGAUGAAUGAGUAGAAACUUGCUGUUUCAUGAACUUAUUUGCAUGAUAGAAUGGAUAGAAGCAAUACCAGAAAAUUUUUCAGAACAUUGUAUGCUUCCAUUUAUCCGUUUUUCUUUUUCUCCUUCGGCUGGUUUUGGGCGUUGAUUGUUGUGUUUUGCUGUUUUGGAAUCAAGGCAUUUGAUGUUAGGAUAAAAAUACUAAUUUGGUCUGGAUGAAAAUGGCAUUAAAAUGAACAUAAGAAUGGCAGGAGACAUGGCUGGAAAAUUUGCAGAAAGCUUCAAAUGCAGAAAUCUUCAAAGUGCCGAAUCAUUCUUGUGUAUUUUUCCAGAAUGUUUGCAUGAUCUUUCCCUAUGUUUUUGGGUUGUUUGACUGCCAAGUUUAUGCUUUGUUGUUUGGUUUGAAGUUUGGAAUGUUAGAUCAAGAAAAGUUUUGGCUAAAUCUGAAUCACGAUAUUGGAAAGGGAAGCAAAGAAUGCAGCAGUCUUAUUGAUCUCAUUGCAGAAAAUUUUCCUACGUGAUUGCAUGCUUUGCAUGAAGAAAUAAACCUGGAAAAUUGCAGAUCAACCCCUUGGCUUCUAACUAAAGGCAUUAGGACCCAAUCAAUUAAAUAAUUUCAUCAAUUUGGUCCUUGGUAAUUUUAAUUUGUGCAACUUCAUUGUUUGUUUGCUUCAAUUAACUACCAUGCUUUGUUUCAAUUGCGCUUAAGUCAUGACUUUAGGAACUUUAUGAUCAAAUGAACUUUGUUUUGCACAUUUCUUUUAAUUUUUUUUAAAUAAAGUGGUACCUUGACCCUUUUAUUAUUUUGGAGGGUAAGUUAGUAAUUUCACUACGUUAGGGCGUCGCUUCAAGGGAGGUACACUCUAUCCUUCAUUUGCACUUCAUUUGACCCUACGUGCUCCUACGUGUUAUGUGAAUACGCAUGCCUACUCCGCUUUCCUUACCUCUUUGCGUGCAUUUACUUGCUUUUACUUCUAUUUAAGUUUUAUGGGGUAUGUGUACACCUCUUGGCUUGUAAUAGAUAGUGCUCGGAGAGCAUCUGGUCCAUUCACCCUUUCCCUUUUAUGCUUUUAUGGGGUAUGUGUACACCUCUUGGCUUGUAAUAGAUAGUGCUCGGAGAGCAUCUGGUCCAUUCACCCUUUCCCUUUUAUGCUUUUAUGGGGUAUGUGUACACCUCUUGGCUUGUAAUAGAUAGCGCUCGGAGAGCAUCUGGUCCAUUUCCCCUUCCCCUUGGUUGCUUGUUUUUGUUGCUACAUGUUUAAUUGCUUUAGUAGGCUCUUGCAUCUAGUCGAGCAUGCUAAGUGCUACGUGCUACGUGUUUACGAGCGUUUUGGCAUGUCUACUUGCUUUCAUAACCAUGAAUGAAUGGAAUGGAUGAAUGUACGCCACCACACUAGUCCAAUGCUAGUUGUGGCUCAUUAGGCCAUCCCUUUUUGUUAGUGCAUAUUUGCAUGUUCACUACAUGUCAUGCAUUUUUCUUAGUUUUAUCAUUUGGCAUGCUCCUCGAGCCCCUUUUCCCUCAUUUUAGGAUUUUUUGCAUCUCAUGCUAGUUAGGGUACAUUUGCGUGAGAGUCCCCUUAAAUAUGGGAUAUAGAUGAGUGUGGCUUUUUCUAAGCCUUAGCACGCUUAUAUUCCCUCUAUCAAAGGAAAAAUCAAGUCACGAUUUAGGUCUCCCCGUACCCGUCUUGCUUGCAUUCCCUAGGCUCAUGCAUUCUCAAUCCACUCUAUCAUUACACUUUCACUUUCGUCUCAUUUGCACACAUGCACCUUUUUAUCACCUUCACUUGCACACGAACACUUUUUUUGUCUCCACUUGCACACGAACCCUUUUAUCUUCACUUGCACACGAGCAUUUUAUCUUCACUCGCACACGAGUACUUUCAUCUACAUUUGCACACCUUCACUCUUAUCUUAUUACUUUUAUCAUUUUUCUCACUUCACACAAACUCACACUUUCACAUGGCAUGCAUUCCACUCAUUUUUCACGUCAUUUAGGUUUAGGUGUGACCUCUCCAAAAGGAUCAUUAUUGGGCUUCACAAUUAAUGUGAUUGGCACCACUCAACCUUUGAAGAGAAAUUUCCCCCAAUCCCCCUAGGUCUAGGUUUUUGCAUUCAUAUAGACAUAUCCAAUACGCGAUACAUACCUUGGGUAGAAAAAUUAGGAAAAAUUGGUUUGAGUCGCGCAACUAGCCUUGGCUAGGUCAAAGGGGUGCCUUGGAUUCUAUCCUUGCCUUCCCCUUUGUCAAACGUGACCCCCGAACCUUUUUCUUUGGCUUACGUGGACUAGGAGUCGUUUUAAAAAGGGUUUUACUACUUUGUCUUUAAAAAACACUUUUUGGGUGACUUGGUACACCCCAAAUCUAUACCAAGUGGCGACUCCGUUUUCAUAUUUAAAAAAACCCUUUUUAAAAUUUCAUUUGGCCAAAUCGUCGCUUUCCAAAGUCCCAUGGCCUUUUACUUUUUAUUUUGCACACGUUCACACCACACAUUCAUCACACCGAUCGAAAAGUGGGGCGCGACAGUUGGCGACUCCACUGGGGACUUCCUAAGUGGGUCCAAGCAUUUGACUUAGCCAUUCGUUUCCUUUUUCUACCCUUUUUAUGCAUUGCAUUUGGAUAUUAAGGUUGCAUUUUCUAUUUUAAGGCCUUUUGCCUCGCGCGCGUAUCCAACUAUUCCCUCACUCACGUACGUGUGAUUGGUUGAUUGGAUGUAUGUUUACUUGUUUAUCUCGCGCUUGCAUUGCAUUUGGGGGGGUGUGUCACCUUUAGAGCCUCGCGUGGUUCUCACCCCUUCCCUCAAAAUAGGGGAACACUUCAUACGUGCACGUUUACUUGCUUUAUCCCAUUUUAUUUUUAUUUUUCGUGGGCGCCAUCCCACACCGCCCUGUAGGAUUAGGAUCGAUUGCCUUGGGUAGGCGGCUGGUGUGCUCUGCGCCCAUAGCGCUACCUAAGGGAUCACUCGAGCCACCGAUCAAAGGCCCUGGGAGUGAUGACCCUUCGCCUUUAGGUCUGAAGGCUUGGGAGCCGAGACUUAUCGAGUCUAGUUGCAUUAGUGAGCCCCAGCCUCAUGCAUCCAUGUUAGAGUUUGCCUAGGUUAGAGUCAACCUCACCCUUUUAAGCACAUUAGGCACGAGGGAAGGGGUUCCACCCCUUUUACUUGCUUUUAUUGUAUUUCUUUUCUUAAUUGCUCCCAAUGUGUUAUGUGUACUAUCAAUUGCACUAACCAUUCUUUUGUUUUCUUGGCUUGCAUUCAUGAGCCAUAGCAAUAAGAGGCCUCUUUGGCACUCUUUUAGUGACUCACCCACUAGAUAACUCACAUGUUUAAAUUUCAGUCAUUAUAUUUAAUAAAUGCAUUUCAUGUUUAGACCUUUUCCCCCGU